AUUAACGCAGGAGGAAUUGACGUUGCGUCGGAGGAGAUCACGUCAGGAUAUUGGAUGGCAGAAGGCUUCGGGCGUCGGGCAUCGGGCCAAGGAGAGCGAAAUUGCGCCAAGGAUAUCGGGGUUGCGGAGGUCAACCGCCGAUUGGGCAACAAGCUGCAAGAGAGGACGAUGCACCGAAGAAUCGGAUGAAGCGCCAACCAAUGACGUGCCGGGCAACAGAAUGUCAAUUUGCGUUAUAAUAAUUGUCUAGAUCGGAGUAGAGUGUUUGCUUGUGUGUGCAGGAUUAACAAGAAUCGGAUGAACCGAAAUUGAUAUACUGUGUCAAAGUGUUAGGAGAUCUCUCUUAUUUGGAGUUUCUGAAUGUUAAGCCUAAUUUAUUAUGAUAUGAACUUGUGGUGAAUAGUUGGAGUUCUGAUUGUAUAAAUUAUUUAGCUUGUGGAUUUAUAAAUAUUGUUCAUGUUUGUCAAGUUGGCUUGGGUUGCCAUAAACGUGAAUUUUUGAGUGAUGUGAUAUAUGAUUAUAACCUGCACAGGUUUUAUGGAUGUGAAUAUGAAUAGAAUGUUUUUUAGUGUCCUCAAACGUUAGUUUGGAUCCUGGAUUGGUCUGUGAUGAAAAAUUUUAAAAAUCAUGGAUAUUUUGAGGGGCGUGACAGAGGUGGUAUCAGAGCAUUGCUUGAGGAUUACUGAAAUAUUUGAUAUGUUGACGUGCAAAAUAUAUUGAGGUCUAAUGAACUAUAGUGAUUGGUGGAAAUUUUCUUUGAUGUAUUUUAGGAAUCUGGGAUGAUGAGGACAUUUGGUCCUCCUAUUUCAUUGUUUCUGAUUAAUUAAGGGGAAUGAAAUGAUUGUUUGGGGAUAUUGAAUCAGAGUGGCGCAGCGGAAUUAUGGUGGACCUAAUUUCAUUGGUGGUAGAAAAAUGGAUGAUGCAAAUGGAGAAGAUAUUUGAUAUACAAAAUUGUUCUAAUGAUCAAAAGAUUUCUUUUGCUACGUUAUAUUGGAAGUAAAGACUUAUUAUUGACGGCAACAAUGAAAAGAAUUUUUGAAGAUCAAUGGCAAGAAUGACAAGAACAAGUUUACCAAUAAAAAUAUGAUUGGAAAUGAAUCAGUAAGUAACAACAAGAGGAUCAAGACAUUUGGAUUUGAAAUUGGAGGUCAUCAUAAAAGACUCAAUCAUGUGUGAAUUAUAAGUUAAAUUAUGAAACAAAUUUGUGUUUUCGGAUGAUUGGAGUAUAUUUUGUUUGUAGAAAGUUGGAUCAUAAAAUAAAAGACGGCACUCAUUCCGGUCCACUCACUUCGUUCGCCCUUAUCUCCCUCCAUUCGUGGCCCUCCUAGGGCCACUCAUUCCGGUCGGUCCCUAAUAUAGUCCUAUCGGGUCGAAUUGUCGGUAACCCGUAGGGUUACCUCCAAUUCUCUGCUUACUUGAAAAGUAAGAAGAGAAUUAGUAAAGACAAAGAAUAAAAGAAAUAUUAAAGAAAAAAGAAAUAGAAAGCUUAUAAGAGAAGAAAGAAAAAAGAGGGAGGUUGGCUGCCGCCAACCGAACGAUGAAAGCCUUAACCCUUUGAACAAAAAGAAAGAGUCACUGCCUCAUAAAUAAUCUGCCCAUAUCAGAGUGUAUGCUAUCACUGAAUAUGAUUCUAAAACUUCUGAAUUAGUGAUCGAAGGUAUUAUGCAUGAUUAUGAAAGAAUGUAAAUAUUUGUUUGACCAUGGGUCCUAUCUACGAUUUGAUUCGUAAUAUUUUGCUUAUCACUUGGGUAUGAAACCUAGACCAUUGCAAUAUGAGCUAUAUGUAAAUACAAUCAUUGGAGAUUUUUUUGAUAACGAACUUGAAUCUGGUCCUCUUGUCUGAUUUUUAUUGGAGAACUUGAACUUUUGCUGAUUUAGUUCUCCUAAAGAUUUGGAGUUUUGAUAUCAUACUUGUUAUGGAUUGACUAUCUUCCUAUCAUACCAGUAUGGAUUGGUAUAUAACAAAGGAUCACUUUUUGCAUAUUUGAUCAGCCCAUCUUUUAUUUGAAAGUAUUGGAUAUGAUUUUAUCUCCUUGCCUAAUAUAUCCCAAGAUGACUUGCCUGGAUUACCUCCAAAUGUGAUUUUGCUUUUGAUUUGGUCCUUGGGACAAUCCCUAUAUCUAAGCCUCUCUGCAGAAUGAUAUCAUUUGAGUAAGUGGAAUUAGAAAAACAACUACAACGAUUAUUAAAUGAGGAUUUUAUUUGGCUUAAUAUUUUAUCAUGGGGUGCUCUGGUGUUAGUUAAAAAGAUGGAUGGAACAUGGAGGCUUUGUAUUGAUUAUGCAUAGUUGAAUCAGGUGAUCAUCAAAAACGAGUAUUUUUUGAAGUAACGAUUUGCUUGAUUAAUUACAGGGUGCGCAAGUAUUUUUGAAAGAUUGAUUGAAGGUCGGGUUUACCAUCUAUUGAGAAUCAAGAAGGAGAAUAUUUCGGUCACUCUUGGAAAAUUGUGUAAUUGUAUUGAAUUGAUGAAAUUAUUUAAGAGUAGGAGGAGGAAAUAAAGAAAUCAUAAUCCUCAUCUUUUCAUCGAUUGAGCUAUGACCAAUUUAGAGGACUAAAUUUUCUUUUAAGGGGGGGAGAGUGUAAUAUCCCCUACUUUUAAAAAUGUAUUAAUAAGGAUUUAUAUGUAAAUUGGGGGACCUAUAUGUAAAUAUAGAAAUUACAAGGACUAAACUGCUAAGUUGCAAAAAGAAAAAAAAAAAGAAAAGGAAAAACCGAAAAUUCGGUAUUAUCCCACCGCCUCCCACGCACUCUGUUUCUUUCCAGAAACAGAGAGAGCGGUGGGGCAUGAGGAGAAGAAGGAGAGUGGUUGAAGAAAAGAAGAAGAAGAGGGAAAAGAAGAGAGGAGGAAGAAGAGAGGAAGAAGAGAGGAAGAAGAGGGAGAAGAGAAGAAGAUGAAGAAGAAGAAGAAGAGGAGGUGGCUGCAGCGAGGGCUGCAGCGAGAAGCUGUGGGGCGUGGGGAGAAGAAGAGAGGAAGAAGAGGGAGAAGAGAAGAAGAAGAAGAAGAAGCAGAAGAAGAAGAAGAAGAAGAGAGGAUGAUAGCUGCGGCAAGGCUGCAGCGAGGAGGUGUGUGGGGUUGGGGAGGAAAAGGGAAGAGGAGAAGAAAAGAAGGAGAAGAAGAGGGAAAAGAGAGGGAAGAGGGAGAGGAGCGAGAGGUGGCAGCAGCUAGGGCUGCAGCACCUCUGUUUCCUGCAGGUGGAAACAGAGGAGAGGUGGGGCGUUCGAAGAGGAGAAGAAGAAGAAGAGGAAGAGAAGAGGAAGAGGAAGCAGGAGAAGAGGUUGUGAUACCUCUAUUUCCUGCAGAGGAAACAGAGGAGAGGGUGUGUGUGACGUCGGGGAGAAGAAGGGGAGGAAGGAGAAGAAGAGAAGAAGAAGAAAGGAAGGAGAGGAAGAAGAGAAGGGAAAGGAGGAGCUGCGGCUGCGGCGGUGGCAGCUGCAGCUGGAAGAGAAGGAGAGGAAGAGAUGGUGAGGAAGAAGAGAAGAAGUAGAAGCGGGUGAAGAGGCGGCACCUCUGUUUCCUGCAGGAGGAAACAGAGGAAAGGAGGUGCUGUUCGUCGGGGAGAAGAAGGGGGCUGCAGCUGCGGCGAUGGCAGCUGCAGCUGGAAGAGAAGAAGAAGAGGAAGAUGAGCAGGGGAGGAGGGAGAGGUUGCGACCGUGGCUGCGGCCGCGACUACAGCAGUUGCAGCGGGGAGAGAAGAAGAAGAAAGGAAGGAGAAGGAAGACGAGAAGGGAAAGAAGUAGCUGCGGCUGCGGUUGUGGCAGCUGCAGCUGUGGCAGGGAAAGAGGAAGAGAAAAAGGAAAGGAAGAAGAAGAGAAAGGGAAGGAGAGGAAGAGGAGAAGGGGCUGCGGCUGCGGCGAUGGCAGCUGCAGCUGUGGCUGGGAAAGAAGAGAAGGAAAGGAAGAAGAAGAGAAAGGGAAGGAGAGGAAGAAGAGAGGAAGAGGAGAAGGGGUGGCAGCUGCGGCAGUGGCAGCUGCAGCUGGAAGAGGAGGAGGAAAUAGAGCAGGGGAGGAAGAAGAGGCUGCGAGUGUGGUGGCUGCGGCCGUGGUUGCGACUCCGGCUGCGGCUGCGACGUUGGCUGCGGUAGCUGCGGCAGCGGUGGUGGCUGCAGUAGCUGCAGUAGCUGCUUUUGGGAAAGAGAAACAAUAGGAACGAGAGAAGGGAAGAAGGAAAUAGUGCCGUGGAUGGGGGCUGCGGUUGUGACCGCAGUUGCGAUUGUGGCAGCGGCAGCGGCGGCGGCUGUGGCAGCUGCGUUUGGGAAAGAAAAAGAAGGAAUGAGAGUAAGAGAGAGCAGGUGACUGUGCCUCGAUGUUCGACACGUGAUGUAGUUACGAAGAAAGGAAGAAAACGGGAGCACAAAACGAAACAGAGAGAGGACACGGAGGAAAAGUAGAAAGAUUGGACUGGCACCUUCCUUGGAUAUUCAGAUCAAAAUAUUUGAAAGGUCAGCUUGUUACUCUUCGAGAUGUUUGAUUUGGGCUGAGGCAGUGGAUAGCUAUUCAGAAUGAUGGGCAAGUCUGGUUGGUUAUUAUGAUAUUGUUGUAUAAGUAUGUUUUGUAUGUAAUGAAAUGUUGUCGAUGAACCGAAAUUGAUAUACUGUGUCAAAGUGUUAGGAGAUCUCUCUUAUUUGGAGUUUCUGAAUGUUAAGCCUAAUUUAUUAUGAUAUGAACUUGUGGUGAAUAGUUGGAGUUCUGAUUGUAUAAAUUAUUUAGCUUGUGGAUUUAUAAAUAUUGUUCAUGUUUGUCAA